rnacentral:rRNA from 1 species
GACGAACGCUGGCGGCGUGCCUAAUACAUGCAAGUAGAACGCAGUUGCGAACGGGUGAGUAACGCGUAGGUAACUGCCUCAUAGCGGGGGAUAACUAUUGGAAACGAUAGCUAAUACCUCAUACUUUGAGAUGGACCUGCGUGGUAUUAGGUAGUUGGUGAGGUAAAGGCUCACCAAGGCGACGAUACAUAGCCGACCUUAGAGGGGGAGCGGCCCAACUGGGAACUGGAAACGGCCCAGACUUCGUCCGGGGGCAGGAGUAGGGAAAUUUCGGGCAUGGACCGAAGGCUGAACGAGGAACGGCGGGUGAGGGAAGAAGGGUUUCGGAUCGUAAAGCUCUGUUGUUAGAGAAGCGGUAACUAACCAGAAAGCCACGGCUAACUACGUGCCAGCCGCCGCGGUAAUUC